CGUGGCAUACGGCUCAGUAACACGUAGUCAACAUGCCCAAAGGACGUGGAUAACCUCGGGAAACUGAGGAUAAACCGCGAUAGGCCAAGGUUUCUGGAAUGAGCCAUGGCCUAAAUCUAUAUGGCCUUUGGAUUGGACUGCGGCCGAUCAGGCUGUUGGUGAGGUAAUGGCCCACCAAACCUGUUACCGGUACGGGCUUUGAGAGAAGGAGCCCGAAGAUGGGCACUGAGACAAGGGCCCAGGCCCUAUGGGGCGCAGCAGGCGCGAAACCUCUGCAAUGGGCGAAAGCCUGACAGGGUUACUCUGAGUGGUUCCCGCUAAGGGAAUCUUUUGGCACCUCUAAAAAUGGUGCAGAAUAAGGGGUGGGCAAGUCUGGUGUCAGCCGCCGCGGUAAUACCAGCACCCCGAGUGGUCGGGACGAUUAUUGGGCCUAAAGCAUCCGUAGCCGGUCUUACAAGUCUUCCGUUAAAUCCACCUGCUUAACAGAUGGGCUGCGGAGGAUACUAUAAGGCUAGGAGGCGGGAGAGGCAAGCGGUACUCAGUGGGUAGGGGUAAAAUCCUCUGAUCCAUUGAAGACCACCAGUGGCGAAGGCGGCUUGCCAGAACGCGCUCGACGGUGAGGGAUGAAAGCUGGGGGAGCAAACCGGAUUAGAUACCCGGGUAGUCCCAGCUGUAAACGAUGCAGACUCGGUGAUGGGCCGGCUUUAUGCCAGCUCAGUGCCGCAGGGAAGCCGUUAAGUCUGCCGCCUGGGGAGUACGGUCGCAAGACUGAAACUUAAAGGAAUUGGCGGGG
rnacentral:rRNA from 1 species